UCCAAGCGAUCUUAUUAUUAGAACUUAAUAGAAACGCACAUUCUCAGGUCCUCCCCCAGACCUCCUGAAUCCAAACUCUUUUAACACACUGUCCUGAUGCACACUUAAGUUUGAAAAUCACGGUCCUAGAAUCAGCCUCUGGGUAACUUGGGAAGAAGUGAGCAGGAAGCGGUGAAAUAGAGGGUGGGCCGGCUGCAGGGGAUGAGGCGCUUGUCCCAAUCAGGGAACCUUUAAGGAACAAGAUAUCGGAUGGCAAUUUUGUAUUUUCCUUUUUAGAUGACCCAGGAAAAUGGAUGCUCAGAAAUCAAAAAGAAGCUUGAGACUGCAUGGAAAAAUCACUAGUGAAUUAAAAUCUUAUUUCUGUUUUUUUCAAUCCUGUCUGUAUCCUAAGAAAAAGCUGGUGCCGGAAUGAAUGCGUAUGUUUUUGUUGUUGUUGUUUUGACACUGACAAAAAUUCCUUUUGCAGAUGGCUACUGAGGCUUCAAAGGGGCAAUGUAUCAUGCAAAUAAUUUUUUUCAGCUAUGACGUGUACAGUUCAGUUUGAUUUAUUUUUGAUGUCACAAACAAAAUGGAAAGUUAGCGCUUUAAAAAUGAGCAUGGCUGGCUGAAUAAAUAAAUAAUAUGCUCUUGGCCAGAAUCUGCCAGUGCCUCCUUAAUUGUCCAUUGAUUCUUUAAUUCUCUGCACUUUAACAUCUACGGCAAUUAAGAGGCCACAGAGCAUGGAGAUGUCUUUUGUUAAACAAAUUAAGGAAACUGGGUUUUAGAAGGUCUAGUUCUUCCUCGGGCUUUGACCUAGCAUUUAAAGGCGGGAAGCGAAGUUGCCCAAUGAAAGCCAGUUGCCCUCCGUGGUUUCUUCUGGAGCACGACUGUACUCUCACCUUGUUUUUCCAGCCAUGAAUAUUUAUAGCGUGUCCUCAGGCCACGCACAUAUAGAACAUGGUGUGACUCAGAGAGCAACGGAGACCCUGAGCGUCCCUCCUGUCAAUUACUGGGAGGUAUGGAGGUGGCCUGGUGUGGCUUCCCUCCAGAAGAUGCUGGUUCCCAUGUUUUAGAUCCUGGCAGACCAGCCCCAGGAUACCCAGCAAGGGUCCUGGGAAGUCUCCUCCAUUUCUUGCAGGGAGAGAAACACUCUGGAAUCUUUGUUUCUUUUCUUUCUUUUUUCCUUUCCUUCCUUCCCUCCCUUCCCUUCUGCUUCCGCUUCC